ensembl:snoRNA
GGCACUUGUGUAUCUGUUUUACUCUAACAUGUGGACUAAGACUUAAGGAUAGAUGCGAAAAAAAAAAAAAUCCUGUUUGUAAUCUAGAGCCCAUUGUUCAGUAUAAGCUUUGAUACACACAGGGAGGGAUAUU